rnacentral:rRNA from 6 species
UGUUCGGAUCGCGGCGACGUGAGCGGUUCGCUGCCCGCGACGUCGCGAGAAGUCCACUGAACCUUAUCAUUUAGAGGAAGGAGAAGUCG